ACGACUACACUCCUACGGGAGGCAGCAGUGGGGAAUAUUGCGCAAUGGGGGAAACCCUGAUGCAGCGACGCCGCGUGAACGAAGAAGGUAUUCGUAUCGUAAAGUUCUGUCCUAUGGGAAGAUAAUGACAGUACCAUAGAAGAAAGCUCCGGCUAAAUACGUGCCAGCAGCCGCGGUAAUACGUAUGGAGCGAGCGUUGUCCGGAAUUAUUGGGCGUAAAGGGUACGCAGGCGGUUUAAUAAGUCGAAUGUUAAAGAUCGGGGCUCAACCCCGUAAAGCAUUGGAAACUGAUAAACUUGAGUAGUGGAGAGGAAAGUGGAAUUCCUAGUGUAGUGGUGAAAUACGUAGAUAUUAGGAGGAAUACCAGUAGCGAAGGCGACUUUCUGGACACAAACUGACGCUGAGGUACGAAGGCGUGGGGAGCAAACAGGAUUAGAAACCCUUGUAGUCCACCAAUCC
rnacentral:rRNA from 1 species